rnacentral:lncRNA from 1 species
ACGAGGCGCAGGCACGCCAGCAGGGGAGAGGGAGACUCGGAAGCACAGGCGACAGGCCAGAUGCGGCUGGGUUGGCAGAGUCCAGGGUCCACGCAGGCAGAGUGCAGAAUGCGUGAGGAGGACUGAAGUCACGGGGCAGGAGGACCGGGCAGGCCCUGCAGACCAGGGACAAGGGCUUGCCACAGCGCCUGAGCCAGUCAGACGUCUGUCAGCAAACGCCGGGGCCACAGCCCCAAGACAGGACUGCAGAAGGGAGAAACUCACUUUGCUGAUUCCAGAAGCAGGCGACAGAGACCCUGCUCCCAUAGUAACUGGACUGGGAGAGACAGCAAAGUGGACCAGCGACCCCACGGCGUGAGCUCUAACAAGCCCCGGCCGGCGCACCCCACAGAACAAGGGAAGUGGACUUUCCUGGGGGCAGCUGCAGACCUCAGGGCACCUCCCAGACCCAUAAACACAGAGCAGCUGUGGGUGAGACUCGGGCAGGCGGCUGGGGAGCAAGACCACCUGGCCGCAGGCCUGUGGGGCAGGCACCUCAUGCUGCUGGCUCUCACCUCCACCAGGGGCCUGCAGUGCCCCCCACGUCCGCCUGCGCGAGCCACAGUGUGCACCCCGACAGCUUCCCAGAAGAGGAUAGCAGAGGACAUGGUCUCUGAUGGCCAAGGAAGAGUGAAAAGUCAGCCACGGAAGGACAGCAGAAAACCCCUCAGACCUUGGAAAUUAAGCAGGAUGUGCCAAGGACUGAAUGUGCUAAAGUGUCCAGACUGAAAUCCGACACUGCCUCGAGCUAAGUUAGAGUGAAGUUACCAUUCAAACUGUGCUUCGGGGAACUGCAUCCCCAUAGAUGCUGCAAAAACUAGAAGACAGCACAGUGGGCUAAACUGUGCCCCCAGCGCCUGGGCCGGAUCUAGCAUGGAGACAGGUCUUUGUGCUGACUGCUGCAGUUGCCCACGGCAUGGGAAGGAGAACCGCAAGCUUGGUACACAUGGUAUUGCUGCCCCACCAGCAUGGCUCCAGCUUCUCCUAGAAGAGGGUAGCUGCACACACAUGCGCGCACACACACACGAAGCCACCUGCCCCACAGAAUGCAGAGCAGAUGUUACAGAAAGGAGAAAAGACCACAAAGCACAGCACAGUGUCUUCCCGGUGCCAAGUCGCCCGACAGCACCCACACAUCUGCCCUGACCGCUGCGUGGACCCCGGCCACGAAUAUUGCUCCAACCCUCCGGCUCGGGGAUCUCAUUCCUCCGCCGUUUGUCCCAGAAACACGUUCGAAGCCGUCCACACCAGCGGCCACCACAGGCCUGAGGAUGCCACAGAAGCCCCUCCACCAUACUGGCAUUGUCGUUCUUGCCACAAGCAGAGCUGGCCCCAGGUACCUCCAGGUGGGUGGUGGCUGGGCUGAGUCCCCAGCUGCACUGGUCUGGUGGCCCAGGGCCCAGGGCAGCUGCCCCUCGCCCUCGCUCAGGAAGCCCAAGCCUGGGCUGGGGCCUCUAACUAAACCCAGGCCGUGUGGCCCCUUCCUGACGGGGGCCUGCUCACCAUGGACCCAGGGCCCACGCUCCAUGCCCUGAGUCAGCUGCAGUGCCCCCAAGCCUGGGCUCGCUCCAGGCCCUUCCACAGGCACCCGCUGCCCCACCCGACCUCGCCAUGUUCUAAGAACCAGUCUGCAACAUCUGCCGUCAGAGGGUGUCACAGAGGGUGUCACGGAGCGUGCCUCAUCAGCGAGAGUCCAGUAAACAGCAUGUUUCUUUCCUUGAGUGUGGUGUAAGCCAAGCACGGCUUAGACUGAGUCAUCUGUGUUGUCUGGAGGUCAGGUUGUCCUGUACCUGUGCUGUUAUUUGCUGGCUUGGCCCCCUGCCCCACAAGGGCGGAUGCAUGGUUGCCCACAGUGACCCCCACACUGCUGGCCCCUCGCCCUGACCAGGAGAUUUUCAAACACAGAGACCUCUGGGGACCCUGCCCACUGGCUGGACAGAAGCAACUACAGAAAAUGCCAGGGCAGAUUCUGGGGUGCAGAGGACAGUCAGGAUGCCCAGAGUCACUGACAGGGCCGUGUGGAAUCCCCUGGCACUGGCAGGGCAGGAGGCUCACCUUGGGUGCUUGAGAGUUUCCUCUGCCUCAUGUUUGGGGCUUCUGCAGAACCUCAAAAGCGGGGCAGAGGCGGGGGCCACUCCGGAAGCACUGUAGAGUUCAGCAUGAAGCCGACUCCACAGUGUCGAGGGUGCGCGGGGUGGGGGUUCGGGCUUCCCCCAGCCUGUUCAGGCCUCCGGUGUCGGGGUUGCACCAUCAGGCCCCCAGGGCCACGGAGCCCCACCAGGCCCAGCCCACGUGGUAAGAGCACUCAGAGGAGGCCCUUCCCGAGCCUGGGCAAGGCCCUGGUUUCCAUUUCAGUGCUGCAAAUAAAUUUUAAAAUGAAAAUGAAAAAGAAAGCCCUUGAAUGGAUUCUGAUUUGCCGAGAGAACUCCAUGGUGGAGCUCAGAGACUCUGAGGAAGCCACACAUGUCUAGUAAAACUCGCCUAAAGAUGCUCCAAGUGAUCAUUCACAUUCAUGCUCUCCUUCCCCAUCUCUCUCUGAGACUAG